CUGAUAAAUACUUUAUCCCCUUCGGGUCUGAAGAUACCACUUGUGUAAUGAGAGGAGAUCCAAUUACAGGGUUAUCCAAUUUACCUUCCUAAAAUCUCCUAGCUUGCAGGGCCAAACCCAGACCCUGGCUCAGAACACUGCAAACUGUGGAGAAGUGUAAACUCGGAUCUGAACUGCACAGCUGGCAAAUGAGCAGCACACCCAGAACUCUCCGCUUCAGUGCUGCCACAAGAAACACUUGUUAAAUUGGAGCAGAGUUUUCCGAGGCCAGGUCCUUGCUCAGCUGGACAGUCUCCUGUGCUGUCCAGCUGUUGCUCACAAAAUAAGGAGCAGCAGUGCAGGUCAGGGAAGGAGGAGCUACAUUUCAAAAUCCACUUAAAAGCAAUAUCAAAAAACCUAGAAAGGCUUUGAUCUUUCUAAAUAUUCCCUUUGUUCUGUCGUUUGGCAAUUCCUGUGUGCUUCAAAGGUAAGAUAACAAGCCGCUCUCUGUACUCUUCCCUGAGCUGUGGUCAUAAACUCACCCCUGAAAUACAGUUUAAAUAACCCAGAACCUUACAACUUCAAAUCAAGU